rnacentral:piRNA from 1 species
UAUAAGGAGGCAAUAAAGGACUG